rnacentral:SRP_RNA from 7 species
GUCUUAGCAACUUGGUCCUGUAACCCAAGUGGGGGCAUGUGGGAAAUGGAACUUUGGGUCAACCCAGUGGUNCGGGNCCAGUGCUAGCUGCUUACCCGGCUGCCCAUUCCAAGCCGGGAGGUGGGCUGAGGGACCUGGGCGAAGGCUNNNGGNNGCGCACUCCUAGACUGGAGGGCAAUGCGUGAGGCUGGCUUCACAGAGCAGCGACUACCUCCCGCUCUCGGCAGUGGAAGGAUAACGGGCCGGUGCGCCUUGAGCCAACACUGUUCAACUGGGCUGACUCUUAAUAGGACCAUUUCUUUU